rnacentral:piRNA from 1 species
UGAAAUGUGUCCUCUGUGAAUGUAGUC